rnacentral:rRNA from 1 species
UACGUAGGGUGCGAGCGUUAAUCGGAAUUACUGGGCGUAAAGCGUGCGCAGGCGGUGACGUAAGACAGAUGUGAAAUCCCCGGGCUCAACCUGGGACCUGCAUUUGUGACUGCAUCGCUAGAGUACGGUAGAGGGGGAUGGAAUUCCGCGUGUAGCAGUGAAAUGCGUAGAUAUGCGGAGGAACACCGAUGGCGAAGGCAAUCCCCUGGACCUGUACUGACGCUCAUGCACGAAAGCGUGGGGAGCAAACAGG